AUAGUAGACUUAAUCUAUUACUCAGUGGGCUUGUCUACAUGUUCAUUAAUGUACUUCUGGUAAUACGCAUUAAAUUUAGAACCUCCAUUGUGAGGUACUAGUAAAAGGCAUAUUAGUC